rnacentral:rRNA from 1 species
AAGCGAAUAGUGAAAUCUGGCGGCUCAACCGUACAGGCUAUUAUUCGAACUCACUAACUCGAGAAUGGUAGAGGUAACUGGAAUUUCUAGUGUAGGAGUGAAAUCCGUAGAUAUUAGAAGGAACACCAAUGGCGUAGGCAGGUUACUGGACCAUUUCUGACACUGAGGCACGAAAGCGUGGGGAGCGAACCGGAUUAGAUACCCGGGUAGUCCACGCCGUAAACGAUGGAUACUA